rnacentral:rRNA from 1 species
AUGGCUCAGGACGAACGCUGGCGGCGUGCCUAAGUACAUGCAAGUCGAACGGUCUUUCUAUGGAAGCUUGCUUCCACUGAGAAGAUAGUGGCGAACGGGUGAGUAACACGUGGGUAACCUGCCCAUAAGAGGGGGGAUAACAUCCGGAAACGGGUGCUAAUACCGCAUAGUUUUCUUGAUCGCAUGAUCGGGAAAGGAAAGACGGCCUUUGUGCUGUCGCUUAUGGAUGGACCCGCGGCGUAUUAGUUAGUUGGUGAGGUAACGGCUCACCAAGACGAUGAUACGUAGCCGACCUGAGAGGGUGAUCGGCCACAUUGGGACUGAGACACGGCCCAAACUCCUACGGGAGGCAGCAGUAGGGAAUCUUCCGCAAUGGACGAAAGUCUGACGGAGCAACGCCGCGUGAGUGAAAGAAGGUUUUCGGAUCGUAAAACUCUGUUGUCAGAGAAGAACAAGUUGGAGAGUAACUGCUCCAGCCUUGACGGUAUCUGACCAGAAAGCCACGGCUAACUACGUGCCAGCCGCGGC